rnacentral:rRNA from 1 species
UUUUAAAGAGAGUUUGAUCCUGGCUCAAGACGAACGCUGGCGGCGUGCCUAAUACAUGCAAGUCGAACGAACGGAGGAAGAGCUUGCUCUUCCAA